CUUGAACCGAGGAGAGCGGGCAGAGCUCGGCGUGUUCCCGGGAAGGGUGGGAUGCUCCAAGGGUGGGAUGCUCCAAAGCCCCUCCUGAGGUGACAUAUUCCAUCUCCUGGUGCUCCAAGGAUCGAAUUUCUUGGUGCUAAUUGGAGAUGUGGGAAAAAUUCCUUUUUUAAAUUUUGGAAGGCGACAUAAACUCAUGAAACAGGAUUUAUCCAGCGCGCCGGGUCUUUCUCUCACCGAGUUUUUUGGGGAAGAAGACCCUUAGGAUUUAAAUUCCAUACAUUUUAUAGUUUCACAAAAUCCCACCCUUUUUCAGAUAAAUAAGUUUAAUAUAUUAAUUUUUGCCUAAAAUUCCUCUUUAGAAUUUAGAAAGAUGGCAUAAACUCGUGAAACAAGGGAUUUAUCCAGCGCGCUGGGUCUUUCUCUCACCGAGUUUUUCGG